CCUUAGGUAAAUUACCCAAACAGAGGUUCAAUCCCAUCAUUUGCCAAUGGUUGUGCAAGGGUUCCUCUUUGAAACUUCAUGUGUGACUGUGUGUUCACUGCUCGUCUCCGCCAUCAUCGGCGCCACCUGCAGCCACCUCGCUGCCGACUACGCCGCUUCCAUCCACUGUCGUCGCCUUAACUGAGGUCGAUGCCGCCAACCCGUUCGAGGCACUGUUCAAGAAUGUUGAUGGAUCGAUGAGUUAGGGGUGCAAGGACCCAGAUCGGGCUUUGUGGGGUUCUUCUGUUCUGUUGUGGUUUCAAUGCCGAUCUGUGACCAAAUCUGUAUUUUUUUUUCAUAGCUGGAGUAAAAGCUGAACCCGUGAGGAAUGAUUUUGAUUGGAAGGAGUUCUAUUUAUUUUAUUAGAGUUGUGGUGGAACAGGAUCGAUGUGUAUUGUAACAUUUGCGCAAAUAGAAGGUGGACGUUAAGGGAACUGAAGAGUUUUUGAUUCAUUAGAUUUUGCCUUGGUUCAACCAUAGGAAUUUGCAGUAUACAUACUAUUGGGUGGAAAAGAAGGUUUUGUCAACAAUAGGAAUUGCAAGACAUUGAGAGAUCUCGAUGAGUCAUGUGGACGCAUAAUCGUAAUAAGGCUUCGGGCUCUUAGGAUUUUAUGUAUAUAUAGAAUGAUGUCUUUAGAGAAUGUGAUCGGGGCUUUGCAUUUUGGGCAUAAGAUUAAUGUGGGGGUGCGUUUUG
rnacentral:lncRNA from 1 species